rnacentral:rRNA from 1 species
UACGUAGGUGGCAAGCGUUGUCCGGAUUUAUUGGGCGUAAAGCGAGCGCAGGCGGAAUGUCAAGUCAGCGGUAAAAUUUCGGGGCUCAACCCCGUCGUGCCGUUGAAACUGGCGUUCUUGAGUGAGCGAGAAGUAUGCGGAAUGCGUGGUGUAGCGGUGAAAUGCAUAGAUAUCACGCAGAACCCCGAUUGCGAAGGCAGCAUACCGGUGCACAACUGACGCUCAGGCACGAAAGCGUGGGUAUCGAACAGG